GCUUAACACAUGCAAGUCGAGGGGCGGCGUGGAGUAGCAAUACUCUGACGGCGACCGGCGAAAGGGUGAGUAACGCGUGAGCAACAUGCCCGGUAGUGGAGGAUAGUCGAUGGAAACGUCGCGUAAUACUCCGUAACAACAGGGACCGCAUGAUCCUUGUUUAAUAGAUUUAUCGCUAUCGGAUUGGCUCGCGUCCCAUUAGGCAGUUGGCGGGGUAACGGCUCACCAAACCGACGAUGGGUAGGGGUUCUGAGAGGAAGGUCCCCCACAUUGGAACUGAGACACGGUCCAGACUCCUACGGGAGGCAGCAGUGAGGAAUAUUGGUCAAUGGCCGAGAGGCUGAACCAGCCAUGCCGCGUGCGGGAGGACGGCCCUAUGGGUUGUAAACCGCUUUUGUUGGGGAGCAAUAAGGAGCACGUGUGCUCUGAUGAGAGUACCCAGCGAAUAAGCAUCGGCUAACUCCGUGCCAGCAGCCGCGGUAAUACGGAGGAUGCGAGCGUUAUCCGGAUUUAUUGGGUUUAAAGGGUGCGUACGCGGAU
rnacentral:rRNA from 1 species